CUAGCGACUUCAGAGUUUGAUCCUGGCUCAGGAUGAACGCUGGCGGCGUGCCUAACACAUGCAAGUCGAACGGGACUUAUUAUGACGAUUUCGGUCUGAAUUUUAAGUUUAGUGGCGGACGGGUGAGUAACGCGUGGACAACCUGCCUUUCACAGGGGGAUAGCAGCUGGAAACGGCUGGCAAUACCGCAUACGCUCAUGCCACCGCAUGGUGGUGUGAGGAAAGAUUUAUCGGUGAAAGAUGGAUCCGCGUCUGAUUAGCCAGUUGGCGGGGUAACGGCCCACCAAAGCGACGAUCAGUAGCCGGCCUGAGAGGGCGGACGGCCACAUUGGGACUGAGACACGGCCCAG
rnacentral:rRNA from 1 species